rnacentral:rRNA from 1 species
CUACCAUGCAAGUCGAGCGGUAGCACAGAGAGCUUGCUCUCGGGUGACGAGCGGCGGACGGGUGAGUAAUGUCUGGGAAACUGCCUGAUGGAGGGGGAUAACUACUGGAAACGGUAGCUAAUACCGCAUAACGUCGCAAGACCAAAGUGGGGGACCUUCGGGCCUCAUGCCAUCAGAUGUGCCCAGAUGGGAUUAGCUAGUAGGUGGGGUAAUGGCUCACCUAGGCGACGAUCCCUAGCUGGUCUGAGAGGAUGACCAGCCACACUGGAACUGAGGCACGGUCCAGACUCCUACGGGAGGCAGCAGUGGGGAAUAUUGCACAAUGGGCGCAAGCCUGAUGCAGCCAUGCCGCGUGUGUGAAGAAGGCCUUCGGGUUGUAAAGCACUUUCAGCGGGGAGGAAGGCGUUAAGGUUAAUAACCUUGGCGAUUGACGUUACCCGCAGAAGAAGCACCGGCUAACUCCGUGCCAGCAGCCGCGGUAAUACGGAGGGUGCAAGCGUUAAUCGGAAUUACUGGGCGUAAAGCGCACGCAGGCGGUCUGUCAAGUCGGAUGUGAAAUCCCCGGGCUCAACCUGGGAACUGCAUUCGAAACUGGCAGGCUAGAGUCUUGUAGAGGGGGGUAGAAUUCCAGGUGUAGCGGUGAAAUGCGUAGAGAUCUGGAGGAAUACCGGUGGCGAAGGCGGCCCCCUGGACAAAGACUGACGCUCAGGUGCGAAAGCGUGGGGAGCAAACAGGAUUAGAUACCCUGGUAGUCCACGCCGUAAACGAUGUCGAUUUGGAGGUUGUGCCCUUGAGGCGUGGCUUCCGGA